rnacentral:lncRNA from 1 species
UCCCUUCAAACUCACGUCGUCUGGUACACAUAACCUGUUUUUGUACUGGAGGAUCCCUUGGUUGUCAAAUCUAAACUCCUCAUUCUUGUCUGACUGGACAGUCUUGGCAAUCUUCACCAACUCUGGAUCCUCAUACUGUUUCUGUGCCACUUGCUCCAGAAACACGGGUGUCACUCUCAUCUGAGCCACUAGUGCACAUGUACCAGACAACUCUAACUGUAAACCCUC